UACGUAGGGCGCAAGCGUUGUCCGGAAUUAUUGGGCGUAAAGAGCUCGUAGGCGGCCUGUUGCGUCCGCUGUGAAAUCCCGGGGCUUAACCCCGGGCGUGCAGUGGAUACGGGCAGGCUUGAGUUCGGUAGGGGAGACUGGAAUUCCGGGUGUAGCGGUGGAAUGCGUAGAGAGUCCGGAAGAACACCGGUGGCGAAGGCGGUCUGCUGGGCCAAGACUGACGCUGAGGCGCGACAGCGUGGGGAGCAAACAGG
rnacentral:rRNA from 1 species